rnacentral:rRNA from 1 species
UACCAGCACCCCGAGUGGUCGGGACGAUUAUUGGGCCUAAAGCAUCCGUAGCCGGUUCUACAAGUCUUCCGUUAAAUCCACCUGCUUAACAGAUGGGCUGCGGAGGAUACUAUAGAGCUAGGAGGCGGGAGAGGCAAGCGGUACUUAGUGGGUAGGGGUAAAAUCCGUUGAUCCAUUGAAGACCACCAGUGGCGAAGGCGGCUGACUGGUCCGGUUCUGACGCUGAGGCGCGAAAGCGUGGGGAGCAAACAGG